AUGGCAACGGCAACAAAAAGGGGAGGGGGAGGAGUGGGAACAACCAUGUCCACAAAAAGGCAGCAAUUGACUGCGCAGACAGGCUGGGAGCGGGCCUCGGGGGCCCCCCUGCCCGGGAUUAAACCCCCCUCGAGCCAGGCCUGGGAUGCUUCCUACCCCCGCCCCACCCCAUCCUCCCGCUCCAGUCUUUACGGUCGGAGAGCCAGGCUCAGGACGUUAGUGCCCCACCCCCCUUCCUGGGCCACCUCCUCCUGGGCACAUCCGGGACGGGGAGGGACUCCCGCCCCACGUUUUGCGGAGGACGGGGACUUGUUUAUUCGUGAAAAAGCAGCCCUGCCUGGGGCUGAGCUGGCUGUAGCCUCGUCCUCCAGUGCUGGUGAUAAGAUGAAUCUAACAGGCUCUCCGCGGGGAUCGCUUAUACACCGAGAUAAGCCGAGUCCCACACUUGGAGCAUUUCACCUCUCCUCCCCGAUAAAGCAGUCUGCGGUAACAAGUGCAUUAGGCCGAUGCAUGCAACUUUCAGGAGGAUCCAGGCUCCGGCCUAGCUAACCAGGAGGUCGUUCAUUGGGCCAGGCUUCUCCACCAAGAUUUAUCACCGAGCAGCGGCUAAAGUAUGCUUUUAAGGGAACUGUCAAACUUUGAAAAAGGCAACAGAAACUAGACUCCAGCCCUUCCCAGCACACCCGGCCCGGGUCACAACGACAAUCUGUCUCCGACAAAGCCUCCCACUGACAGUCCGACCUAUUUAGAACACGACCCGCAUUAGACAAGAUCAUGAAAGAAUCGGCAUGUUUCUACCUUCCAGGCUGGCCUAAGAGAGCUGGAUGCCAGUGUGAAGUGUUUGGGCCAAAUAGUUCUCCGUGGCCACUUGGUGGAUGAGUUGUUUCUCUUGCUUUGGGUCAAGUCAAAUGAAUGAAUCAAGAUCAACUCUCACCAUUUGCUUUAAUUUAUUCACAUUGUCCUUCCCCCUGAAAGCGGCAGGAGAGCCGGAGUGGUUCUUGGUGGAACCCUUAGGAACUGGGAGGAUAAACAGACUCCAUCAGAGAGGUCAGGAUGGGGGACGCUCUCUAAUCUUAAGAUAACUUGUGUAAACCAUUGCAAGGACUGGGAAUGGGGUAUAUAAACACACUUCAAGUAAGUAGAGAUGGGCUCAUCUUUCACCCAGGGAUGGUAUGUCGUCGGGACCAUUCUGACGGCGGCCAAUCACUCUGCGCGGAGGAAGAGGCCGCGUACCUGAGUGAUAAAUAAACGAGGGCCCCGGGGGGCCGGGGAAUGGUCA
rnacentral:lncRNA from 1 species